AACGCAACUUGCGCUCCUUGGUAUUCCAUGGAGCAUGCCUGUUUGAGUGUCACAUAAACCCUCACCCUUGCGAUGUUACAGUCGUCUUGUGGUGGAUUUGGACUGUGCCGUAAUUGGCUCGUCCUGAAAUGCAUUAGCUUGCGCUUUUUACAGUGCUCGGCAUGGUGUGAUAAUUAUCUGCGCCACAGCCUUAGGCCUGUUCUAUAUGUGUAGCUUCUAAUCGUCCCUUGCGGACAACUUACUUAACACUUUGGCCUCAAAUCAGGUAGGACUACCCGCUGAACUUAA
rnacentral:misc_RNA from 1 species